rnacentral:misc_RNA from 1 species
AAGUCGUAACAAGGUUUCCGUAGGUGAACCUGCGGAAGGAUCAUUCACAAUAAAGUGUUUCUAGCACUUUUUAAAAAAUCUAGUACCCACCUUGUGUGCAAUGUAUUGGUCAUGUGAUUUGUCAUGUGAUUCAAUAAUACCAACCUUUAUUUUUAACGUAUGUCUGAAGAUAUUAUGAAUACUAUAAUUCAAAUAUAACUUUCAACAACGGAUCUCUUGGCUCUC